rnacentral:rRNA from 1 species
AGAGUUUGAUCCUGGCUCAGAGCGAACGUUUGCGGCGGGCCUAACACAUGCAAGUCGAACGGGCUAGCAAUAGUCAGUGGCGCACGGGUGCGUAACACGUGGGUAAUCAACCCUUCAGCUUGGGAUAACGCCUUGAAAGGGGCGCUAAUACCGGAUACGGCGCGCGGGGCUUCGGCUCUGCACGAGAAAGAUUCGCAAGGAUCACUGAAGGACGAGCCUGCGGCCCAUCAGCUAGUUGGUGAGGUAAGAGCUCACCAAGGCGAAGACGGGUAGCUGGUCUGAGAGGAUGAUCAGCCACACUGGAACUGAGACACGGUCCAGACUCCUACGGGAGGCAGCAGUGGGGAAUAUUGCGCAAUGGGCGAAAGCCUGACGCAGCCACGCCGCGUGAGCGAUGAAGGCCUUCGGGUCGUAAAGCUCUGUGGGGAGAGAAGAAUAAAGCCUGUGAAGAGCGGGCCUUGACGGUAUCUCCUUAGCAAGCACCGGCUAACUCCGUGCCAGCAGCCGCGGUAAUACGGAGGGUGCAAACGUUGCUCGGAAUCAUUGGGCGUAAAGCGCACGUAGGCGGCGAAGCAAGUCGGGUGUGAAAGCCCUGGGCUCAACCCAGGAAGUGCAUUCGAAACUAUUUCGCUUGAAUCUCGGAGGGGGUCAGAGAAUUCCCGGUGUAGAGGUGAAAUUCGUAGAUAUCGGGAGGAAUACCAGUGGCGAAGGCGCUGACCUGGACGAAGAUUGACGCUGAGGUGCGAAAGCGCGGGGAGCAAACAGGAUUAGAUACCCUAGUAGUCC